rnacentral:rRNA from 1 species
CAUGCGGGUCUUACCAUGCAGUCGAACGGAGAUUCAGCAAUGGAUCUUAGUGGCGAACGGGUGAGUAACGCGUAGGCAAUCUGCCUUCUAGAUGGGGACAACAUCCCGAAAGGGGUGCUAAUACCGAAUGUUGUAGUUGGUUCGCAUGGACUAGCUACUAAAGGUGGCCUCUGAAUAUGCUACCGCUAGAAGAUGAGCCUGCGUCUGAUUAGCUAGUUGGAGGGGUAACGGCCCACCAAGGCUUCGAUCAGUAGCCGGUCUGAGAGGAUAAACGGCCACACUGGGACUGAGACACGGCCCAGACUCCUACGGGAGGCAGCAGUGGGGAAUCUUCCGCAAUGGACGAAAGUCUGACGGAGCAACGCCGCGUGAGUGAAGAAGGUUUUCGGAUCGUAAAGCUCUUUCGUUAGGGACGAACGUGCUCUUUGUGAAUAAUGAGGAGUAAUGACGGUACCUAAAUAAGAAGCCACGGCUAACUACGUGCCAGCAGCCGCGGUAAUACGUAGGUGGCAAGCGUUGUCCGGAAUUAUUGGGCGUAAAGCGCGCGCAGGCGGGAUAUCACGUCUGUCUUAUAAGUGCUAGGCUCAACCUCAUGAGGGUGACGGAAACUGGUAUUCUUGAUUGUGUGAAAGGAAAAAUGCAAAUACAAGGGUAGCGAGGGCAGUGGUUGAGACUUCACUGAUGCUGAUGAGCGGAACGGAGGGGUGAGAACGGGAGUAGACACCUGGAUCACCCCCCCUGAAAGUACACGAGCUCG